ACUCCUACGGGAGGCAGCAGUGGGGAAGUAUUGCACAAUGGGCGCAAGCCUGAUGCAGCCAUGCCGCGUGUAUGAAGAAGGCCUUGGGUUGUAAAGUACUUUCAGCAGUGAGGAAGGUGGGUAGUGUUAAUAGCAUAUUCAUUUGUACGUUAGCUGCAGAAGAAGCACCGGCUAACUCCGUGCCAGCAGCCGCGGUAAUACGGAGGGUGCGAGCGUUAAUCGGAAUUACUGGGCGUAAAGCGCAUGCGAGGUGGUUUGUUAAGUCAGAUGUGAAAGCCCGGGGCUCAACCUCGGAAUUGCAUUUGAAACUGGCAAACUAGAGUACUGUAGAGGGGGUUAGAAUUUCAGGUGUAGCGGUGAAAUGCGUAGAGAUCGUGAAGG
rnacentral:rRNA from 1 species